UCUAGGAUGGGUUCCAGGCUGGCAGCCUGGGAUAACAAGGAUGGACAUCGUUCUUUUGUCGUUUGUUUUCGUCCAUAGUUGGACCCUACUCUUCUUCAUGAUGAUUGGUUAUUGAUGUAUUAAUGUGAUCUUGAUGUAGCUUGUGGCGAUUGUAAGCCAACUGCUUAUACUCAUCUUUUUUGUAGAUGUACUUGUAAUGAUACCCAUUCUUGCGAAACGACGAGAUGCGUUUCUAUCCUAGUCGAGGAUCUCUCACC
rnacentral:lncRNA from 1 species